CCUACGGGAGGCAGCAGUGGGGGAUAUUGCGCAAUGGGCGAAAGCCUGACGCAGCGACGCCGCGUGGGUGAUGAAGGCCUUCGGGUCGUAAAGCCCUGUCGAGGGGGACGAACCGGUUGCGAUUGAAUAGAUCGCAGCCCUGACGGUACCCCUAAAGGAAGCACCGGCUAACUCCGUGCCAGCAGCCGCGGUAAUACGGAGGGUGCGAGCGUUGUUCGGAAUCACUGGGCGUAAAGCGCGUGUAGGCGGCCUGCUAAGUCUGAUGUGAAAGCCCGAGGCUCACCCUCGGAAGUGCAUUGGAAACUGGCAGACUGGAGUCCCGGAGAGGAGGGUGGAAUUCCUGGUGUAGCGGUGAAAUGCGUAGAUAUCAGGAGGAACACCGGUGGCGAAGGCGGCCCUCUGGACGGUGACUGACGCUGAGACGCGAAAGCGUGGGGAGCAAACAGGAUUAGAUACCCUGGUAGUCCACGCUGUAAACGAUGAGCACUAGGUGUCGCGGGUAUUGACCCCUGCGGUGCCGCAGCUAACGCAUUAAGUGCUCCGCCUGGGGACUACGGCCGCAAGGUUAAAACUCAAAGGAAUUGACGG
rnacentral:rRNA from 1 species